rnacentral:lncRNA from 1 species
AAAUGACUACAAAAGUGUAGUUUAAUUUGAUUCUGGAGGGAUAAAGAUAUACUUCUGCCCUUAAAAUAUAAUCUUGGUAGUUUAGUUUGGAGCCCAAAUACCUGAAUUUAAAUCACGUCUCAAUAGCUAGCUGGCUUUGGUUAACUUUCUUGAUCUAUUCGUGCUUCACUGUAUUUUUCUAUAAAAUGAAAAUUAUAAUAAUAUCUACCUCAUAGAGUCAAAUGAGUUAGUAUCUGUAAACUUCUUAGCAUACUGCCCGGCACCACAUAAACACUAAACAAUAUAGAUUUUAUUGUCAUUGUUGUUGUUUUAUCUAAACCACUCAUAACAAUGUCCUGCAUAAAGCAAGCACAAUAUAAAUACUUAGGGAGAGAACUGUCUGAAAGUAUAAAGGCAUGCAAUUUUACGUUAGGUGGGCAGAAUAAGAUGUUGUCUGUGAGCAUGAAAGGCAAACUAAAGAGCUCGAGAGAAAAAUCAGAUUUGGAUCUGUUAGCACUGAUCUGGGACAGUUCUGUGUGAUAGGAAGAAAGGACUUAGAAUAAUGACAUGAACGGAGUAAAUGGACUCGGCAUCGGGGAAAACUUAAGGAAAAUGGUACAUUUGAGGUGAGAUUUGAAGGAAGUGACCUGAAGAGACAGGAAAGAAUCAUAAAUUCUCAGGGGUGAUUAUAACAAUCUGCUAGUUAAGCUCUCAGGCUUUCUUUUGCAUGGUAGGAUAUUCUGGAUAGGCUUAAGUCUCCUCAGAUAGAAGCAAUUUAACGUUGUUUUAAGCAAUUUAACGUUGUUUUUCUCUUUUUGUUUAUCAUAUUUUAAUCCUUUAAAAUGUGUGACUAAUACAUGAGUACUUUGUUUAUAAUAUUAUGUGCCUUACUUUAUAACAUUUUUUCUUUCUUUCUUUCUUUCUUUCUUACAAAGCUUGUAAUCACUUGAGUACAAUUUGGGAAGAUGCACAGGUUCUAUAUAAAUCAAUUAAGAAUUUUUUAAAAAGGAUCAGUCAUCUGAAUAGAAAAAUCCUUAUGUUUAAUGGGAGAUGGCAACUUCCAGUUUCAAAAGUACUUAUUGACAUUGGAUUCCAUUUACAUAUCAUAAAAUCUUAAACCAUUUUCUCUGCAUAGGAAUGGACAGGCAGAUUUGGAGACCUAUUUUCCUAAAGCCGAUAAUGCCCUUACUUCUGCCAACUCAGUAUUGUUAUGUUGGAACAACUUUAUCUUCAUCUUUCAAUGGAGAAAAAUAUGUACUCCUUCAUCUUAUCAGUUAUUCCUAAAUCAAGUACAUUGGCACACGAUUUUCAACCUAAUUGGGUCUUACUCUGACCAAAAUAACACUGGCAAGAGUGCUAUUUCCCUAUAUCCAAAUUUGUGGUAGAGAUUGCUAAAGCAUUCUUAGAACUGAUUCUCACCAAUUGUGUGUGUGGUUGUUAUAAUUAUUACAACAGCCCUAUAGGGUGUAGAGAUGAGGACACAGUGAAUCAAAGAAGAAACUUACUCAAGGUCAUAACAGCUAAAAAGCAGGAGAACCAAGAUUCAAAUACGGUUCAACUUUUCUUCCAAAAUCUCUCCCUUACUCAUUGUCUUUUAAUUACUGGUACCAGUGGUGAAAUGUCAUUGCAUUCCUGUGACAUGUUUGACAAUUUAUAACAAUAUAGAUGUUUUUGUAGGAGUAAAGAAGGUGAGCCAGACUGUGGAAAAGAGGAGAUUACAGACAAUGAGAAUGUCAGGAAGCAAGGAAAGGAAGAGUGAAGAAGUUCCUAAAGAUGGUAAUGAAUCAAUCUUAAGAAAUAAAUAAUUAAAAGAACAUCAACAAAAAGUAGUACCAAAAGAUAAUUAUGUUAGAAGGAAUAAUAAAUUAAAGUAGAAGGAAGCAGUUAUAUUUCACUAGGAAGAAAUGUACUCAGUGUUUAGAAAAGCCAUAACAACCUGAAAAUACAGGCCUAUGUUGAAAAUCCAUCAACUGUAAUUGCUAUUGAGUUGUUGUGGUGACGCUAUAGUAUAUGUGCAAGUGGUCCAGAUUAAAAAAAAAUUAGGUCAAUCAAAAUAUUUAUACUCUUCCAGAAAAGAACAGUUAUGGCAUUGCAGAAGACAGCUUUGAGUUGCCUGAAUUGCCUACUAUUAUUGCCUUUGAUUUUGAUUUUGUCUAGAAUCAGGGAGGAUUACCAAUCCAAAAUGUACUUUUCUUUUAUAUCAGAAAAAAACACCUAAUUUUUCAUGUUCCAGUAUAGAAACAUAAGUGUCUUAAAAUGUCUGCAUUUAGUUUUUAUCAUGAACUUUAUUCUUUUGUCUAGCUGUGGGUAAAGAAGAUACAUCAUCAUUAACUGAAGUUGUAAAACAAGUUGCAAAACAACAACAAUCACAAACAUCAGAAAUAGAAAGAAACAAAAAAGUUCUGUUUCAUUUACAGGUAACUUAUUUCAUAUAAUCUUUUAAAUGUCUUCAAAAUUUAAUAGUGACAAAAAAUUUUAAAAGAACUUCAUAUUGGGAAUCAAUUUUAAUUACACUAUACUAUCAGUCAACAAAUAUAUGAAAAAAUGUUCAUUAUUGCUAGCAAUUAGAGAAAUUCAAAUCCAAACUACUCUAAGAUAUCAUCUCACUCCAGUUAGAAUGGCAGCUAUUAUGAGACAAACAACAAUAAGUGUUGGCAAGGAUGUAGGGAAAAAGGUAUACUCAUAUACUGCUGGUGGGGCUGCAAAUUGGUGUAGCCAAUAUGGAAAUCAGUAUGGAAAUUUCUUGGAAAAUUGGGAAUGGAACCACCAUUUGAUCCAGCCAUCCCUCUCCUUGGUCUAUACCCAAAGGACUUAAAAACAGCAUAUUACAGGGACACAGCCACCUCAAUGUUUGUAGUAGCGCAAUUCACUAUAGCUAAACUAGGGCCCACUUUCUAUUGAGAAUUUUGCUAAACAUUUUUCUCAACAUUGUCCUUACCCUUGCAUUGCUCAUGAUUUAUUUGGGAAGGAGUCCAAGUAAACAAAUAAUUGCACUCAUGAUGGUAGCAUCAACAAUAGAGGUAGUAGCCCAACAUAUUUAACACUGAAGAAUGAGUGAUUGCAAAAGAAGUGAUUUUUCAAUGUUGGGUAUUAAAAGACAGUUGGAAUUCACUGAUUGAUUGGGUAUCUUGGUCAGGUAUAAGAUUAAGGGAACCUGGGAUAAGGAGGAUGAUAUUCCAGAUUGACAGAAUCUGAGAAAUUCACAGAAGCCUGAAACAGCAUUGUACAUUCAUAGAACCCUAUGUAGUUUGAUAAUGGUAUAGUAUAGAGUAUGUUUUGAGAAGAGGUGGAAGGUAUAUACUAUGAUUAAAAAUUUGGACUUUAUUCUAACAGUGAUGAGAAACCUUUGGUUUUUAAACAAGAAGCAAAUUAAAAAUUGCUUUUAUAUAGAGAGAAUUCUUUUUAAAAAUAUAUAUAAAGUGCUUGUUAUAAUUCAACAUCCAUUCAUGACAAAAAUGUCUCAGAAAAUUAGGAUUAGAAGGGAACUUU